rnacentral:lncRNA from 1 species
CUUGGAGAAGACACGCAUGGAGAAUCUUGGAGCAGAGGAGGAUGAUGAAGACUUGGAAAGAGACUUCUUCUUCUUGUCGCCGAGUAUCCUCAACGAGUAAUACAGCAAGAAAGGCGAUCUUAGGAGAUUUGAAGUCACUGGAUUCGAUUGCCGGAGGAACGUACAUCGUCGCCAUUGAGAGAAGUAAGUGUGGUUGGUGGGAUCAGU